ACUCAUCACUAUCUAAAACUGUACAUUAUAUUUGCAAAAUAUGUUUCAUCACCCAUAAUAAUAUACAAUUAAGCACCUGUC